rnacentral:rRNA from 1 species
ACCUGCGGAAGGAUCAUUGUCGUGACCCUGACCAAAACAGACCGUGAACAUGUCAUCCAUGCCGCCGGUUGAUGGGGCUUGCACCUAUCUCUUGGCCUGGGCCACCGACCUUCUUCCAGAGGGGGGCAGGGGCCCAAAAGAACCCACGGCGCCGUAUGGCGUCAAGGAAAACUAACAUUGCCUUGCCUGGGGUGACAACUGGCUUGCCGGACGUGCCCCGUGCAGCGAUGCUAUGGAAAUUCACAUGACUCUCGGCAACGGAUAUCUCGGCUCUUGCAUCGAUGAAGAACGUAGCAAAAUGCGAUACCUGGUGUGAAUUGCAGAAUCCCGUGAACCAUCGAGUUUUUGAACGCAAGUUGCGCCCGAGGCCUUCUGGUCGAGGGCACGUCUGCCUGGGCGUCACGCCAAAAGACACUCCACACCAAUCCUGGUCUGGACGUGGUGUUUGGCCCCUCAUGCCGCAAGGCGUGGUAGGCCGAAGAUGGGGCUGCCGGCGGUGCCGAUCACAGCACAAGGUGGAUGACGCAAGUUGUUCUCGGUGUUAUGAUCUGGACCACUCCCGGAGAUGUCAUGGCCCUUUGGACCCAUGGUUUCGAGUGCAUGUUGUUCGAACCGCGACCCCAGGUCAGUCGGGACUACCCGCUGAAUUUAAGCAUAUCAAUAAGCGG